GGGGAAUUAGCUCAGUCUGGGAGAGCGCUUCGCUGGCAGCGAAGAGGUCAGGGGUUCGAGCCCCCCUAUUCUCCACCA
rnacentral:tRNA from 1 species